GGGGGAAGCCAGCUGCAUGUCAUAUGGACAUUCAGGCAACCUAGGGUGUGAAUAAUGUGGCAAGGAAAUAAAAGGCCUGCUAGCAAAUGCUCAGUUGAGCUUGGUAAUGGGUCCUCUCCCAGCAUCUCCAGCCAAGAGCUUGACUGCAACCUCAUAUGAGAUUUUGAGCCAUAACCAUUCAGCUAAACUGCUUCUGGAUACCUGACCAUAGAAACUGUGAGAUUAUAAGAGAAGCAGAUCUUAGGGGGACAAGAGUACAUAUGAAACACAGCAGAGGAGUAGGAUAUGUCUUUGAAUGAAGAUGCCUGAGGGACUGAAUAAAGAACCUGGACAACUAAAGAAAAAAGACACCUAUGGAUCAGAAUUGAGACAAUUUCUUCAGAACUUCCAGUUUCCCAAGACGCAACAUUGAAUUCAAUCAGAGGUAAAGAUUCUGGACUAUUGGAUUAAAUGAGGAGGCAGGAGCUACUAUCUCUUGCAGUGAAAUUAUGCCAUUCAUUAGAAGGUGAUACUGUCAUCAAUGUGAGAGGCCCAGGACUCUGCAGGGCCUGAAGAAAUCCUGGGCAAUGAGUCUGAGGGAAGUCUCUCAGAGCAGCUACUCUGAGAGAGUAAAGCCGCAGCCUUUGUGGGGUAUGAAAGCAGCGUUCUCAUGGAUAAGGCUUAUUUGAGACGAAGUGGAGGCCUUGUUUUGUCCACUUACCGCAAUGUCCACUGUCCCCAACUGCAGCAUGCCAACAGCAAAUGUGUUUAGUGGAUAUGUGCUUUGUAGCUAACAAGAAACAGUAACAUUUAUUUUUCCAUGCCUAGUUGCUUAACAAACGAUAUUCUAA
rnacentral:lncRNA from 1 species